rnacentral:rRNA from 1 species
GACGAACGCUGGCGGCGUGCUUAACACAUGCAAGUCGAACGCUGAACCCGCUUCGGUGGGGGAUGAGUGGCGAACGGGUGAGUAACACGUGGGCAACCUGCCCCCGGCUCUGGGAUAACUCCAAGAAAUUGGGGCUAAUACCGGAUGUGACCGCUGGCCGCAUGGUCUGGUGGUGGAAAGGGUUUCCGGCUGGGGAUGGGCCCGCGGCCUAUCAGCUUGUUGGUGGGGUAGUGGCCUACCAAGGCGACGACGGGUAGCCGGCCUGAGAGGGUGACCGGCCACACUGGGACUGAGACACGGCCCAGACUCCUACGGGAGGCAGCAGUGGGGAAUAUUGCGCAAUGGGCGGAAGCCUGACGCAGCGACGCCGCGUGGGGGAUGACGGCCUUCGGGUUGUAAACCUCUUUCAGCAGGGACGAAGCGCAAGUGACGGUACCUGCAGAGGAAGCACCGGCCAACUACGUG